AAAAAAAAAAACUCGAUUAAAGAAUACAUUUUUUUAAAAUUUUUUUGUUAGAUGAUGUACAAUGCUAGGGGCAGACGGGUAGCUGUGAAACAAUUAAAAUUUUGAGCUCACACUUCUUUGUUCCUUCACUCCUUGGUAAUCAAGAAUCGUUUUUGUUGAGAUGAGGACGAUAAACGAAGUAAUCGAAGUGGAUGGGUUAGAGGCGAGGUUAUUGGACUUGGAGGGCGGUGAGAGUGAAGCGGUGCUGUAUGCGGCGUCGUUUGUAGAAAGCGAAGAGAGGUUUGUGAAAUACAACACAGUGCAAUGGGUGCUUUACUCGCUUCUUCUCAUAUUGGCAUGGGGAAUUGGCUUCCUCAUGUUGCUCUAUCUUCCUGUUAGGAGGUUUGUGCUCAGAACCGACAUACGCUCCAGAAAGCUCUACCUCACUCCUAAUUCCAUUGUUUACAAGGUUACGAGGCCAGUACCAUUUCCAUGUUUUGGGGUCCUGCAGAAAGAGAAGCAUGUUUUAUUGCAGAAUGUAGCUGAUGUUGUCGUUGAACAAGGAUAUUUGCAGUCACAUUUUGGUGUUUAUUCUCUUAGAAUUGAAAAUAUUGGUGUACGAAGACCACCUAGUGAUGAUGUUAAAAUCCAGGGUGUUGCAAAUCCACAUGCUUUCAGGAAGGCCAUAAUGAUGCGCCUAUCAAACAUGAGAAAUGAGAUGUUCUCUACACAGGUUUCUACAUUAGAUGUUCCACAUAUGAUGAUGUCUCCUUCAAAGUCAUUGAGACAAGAUUCCACUUCUGGAGAGCUGCUGCUGUUGCAGAAACUAGAGGAAGUUGGAAACUCUGUCAAGGUAGAAAAGUAAAGACAAUAUUAUAUGUGCAGUAGUCAAUUGCAUGAACUUCAGGAAAAUUCAGUGUUUAUUUGAGGAGCAACAAUCUCAUACAGCAGAAUCUACAGAUUGAAGUUUGUGAAAAGUUCAGGUAACCUAUUUUCCAGGUAAUGGAAUAAUCGGGUAAUUUCAAAUCCUCAAUCAGUCUCCUGACUCUUCCAAAUUCCAAGCCUAAUUGCUACGUUAUUAACAUAAUAACAUCCCAUGCAACUAUUGAUGACACGCUAAGCAUUAUAGCUAGUCAUCAUUGUUUAAAUUUGUACUUUCUUGUGUAAAAUUGCGCUUAAUUGCGCUGUGUAUUAAUGUUAAAAGAAAAGAAGAAAUACCUUUAUUGUUAUACUAGUGUGUAUGAUGUAUCAAUGAUUCCAUUUUAAUUUUAUUUUAUUUUAUAGAGUAAAUGGUCAAAUUAGUCUCUGAAAUAUCACUCGUUCUUCAAAUUAGUCUCCAAAAGGUUUUCUUAAUUAAAUUUAUCUUUUAAAGAUUUUAAAUUAGUCAUGGUAGUGCUUCUAUCCAAGGUAGUUAAAAUCGCGACUCUACUUGUAGAAUCACACACGAUUCUGCGAUUUCGCUUUUUCCUCCCGUCUCGUUUAUGCUUCUCGUCUUUCAGGAAGCAACUCCGUGCUGAGUUGCCGAGGAAACACGCUCAAACAGUGAAAUCGCGAGUUUCUAUCGAGGUUGUGUUCCAGUUUCAAGAAAGCUCCAGAAGCGGUUUUCUUGCCCCAAAUUGCAACUAAUUCAAACCCUAGAACCCAAUCUGAAGUGAAGAAGGUGAAGGUAAAUGCCCCUGCAAAUUCUUUUUGAAUCGUUUACCCUAACAAUUUAACCUCCUUUUCAGUUUUCACUUUAUUCAAUCUAUUACUUUCCCUCCCUCUAAACUUUGAACUCCCUUCUGAAAUCACCAAAUCGGAGAAGAAAAAUUGUGUUACCGUGACCUGUGAGGCUUGUUGUGAUGCCGUCUGUGAGUGUAUCUCUGCCUUUUUGACUCUCUCUGACUGCAUUGAAAGGUUGCUAACUUAGUGUUGCUGUUGCUCUGUGUCCUUGGCUGCCGGUGUUCAUGGUUGAUUGUUGUUGCUUUCUGCGCUCUUCGCCUUCCCUGUUUAGUGAUUUUCCUUAAAUCUUU